rnacentral:rRNA from 1 species
GACGAACGCUGGCGGCGCGCCUAACACAUGCAAGUCGAACGAGAGAUGAGGAGCUUGCUCUUCAAAUCGAGUGGCGAACGGGUGAGUAACGCGUGAGGAACCUGCCUCAAAGAGGGGGACAACAGUUGGAAACGACUGCUAAUACCGCAUAAGCCCACGGCUCGGCAUCGAGCAGAGGGAAAAGGAGCAAUCCGCUUUGAGAUGGCCUCGCGUCCGAUUAGCUAGUUGGUGAGGUAACGGCCCACCAAGGCGACGAUCGGUCGCCGGACUGAGAGGUUGAACGGCCACAUUGGGACUGAGACACGGCCCAGACUCCUACGGGAGGCAGCAGUGGGGAAUAUUGCACAAUGGGGGAAACCCUGAUGCAGCGACGCCGCGUGGAGGAAGAAGGUCUUCGGAUUGUAAACUCCUGUUGU